CGGGCCGGUACCGGGCGGCAUCUGACGACGGCGCGGUGGGCCCGCGCCGGGCGGUGCGGGCCCACCGCACUCCGGUUCGGCUCGCGACCGGGCCGG
rnacentral:tRNA from 2 species